rnacentral:rRNA from 1 species
UGGGGAAUAUUGCACAAUGGAGGGAACUCUGAUGCAGCGACGCCGCGUGAACGAAGAAGGCUUUCGAGUCGUAAAGUUCUUUUAUAUGGGCAGAUCAUGACGGUACAAUAAGAAAAAGCCCCGGCUAACUACGUGCCAGCAGCCGCGGUAAUACGUAGGGGGCUAGCGUUGUCCGGACUCACUGGGCGUAAAGGGUUCGCAGGCGGAAAUGCAAGUCAGGUGUAAAAGGCACUAGCUUUACUACUGUAAGCAUUUGAAACUGCAUAGCUUGAGAUGAGUAGAGGUAAGUGGAAUAUUUAGUGUAUCGGUGAAAUGCGUAGAUAUUAAAAAGAAUACCGGUGGCGAAGGCGACUUACUGGGCUCAUUCUGACGCUGAGGAACGAAAGCGUGGGUAGCAAACAGG